CCUGAUGGCGAAGUUGAUAUGACAAGCCACUGCAGCAUCCAGGAAUUUUCUGAUAAAAAAAGUCCCAAUGCAGCGGCAGAUAAAGCGAAAAAAAAUGUAAAUCAAAAAAACUCGGCUUUCGAAGAAGUUAGUGGAAAAAAACUCAUUAAAAUAAACGUUCCUGGCGAAAAACAGACAACCUCAUCAUAAUCAAUUAAUUCACCAUUUGAAUCA